UACAGAGGGGGCACGCGUUGUUCGGAAUUACUGGGCGUAAAGGGCGCGUAGGCGGCCUGUUAAGUCGAACGUGAAAUCCCCGGGCUCAACCCGGGAACUGCGUCCGAUACUGGCAGGCUUGAAUCCGGGAGAGGGAUGUGGAAUUCCAGGUGUAGCGGUGAAAUGCGUAGAUAUCUGGAGGAACACCGGUGGCGAAGGCGGCAGCCUGGACCGGUAUUGACGCUGAGGCGCGAAAGCCAGGGGAGCAAACGGG
rnacentral:rRNA from 1 species